rnacentral:rRNA from 1 species
CGCGUAGGUGGCCAAUUAAGUCAAAUGUGAAAUCCCCGAGCUUAACUUGGGAAUUGCAUUCGAUACUGGUUGGCUAGAGUAUGGGAGAGGAUGGUAGAAUUCCAGGUGUAGCGGUGAAAUGCGUAGAGAUCUGGAGGAAUACCGAUGGCGGAGGCAGCCAUCUGGCCUAAUACUGACACUGAGGUGCGAAAGCAUGGGGAGCAAACA